rnacentral:tRNA from 1 species
CUUAAUGAGACAGAAUAAUGUGCUAGACUUAAACCCUAGUUAUGAGGUUUCUCCAUUAAGGG